CAUCACCACAAUAGUGUGGCUCUGAAGUGUCUCUUUUGUUCCCUGCAAUGAGAUUUCAAUUCCACUCAGAAAAGAAACUGAGAUCAGUUCUAAUGUAUGCUCCUCAAGAAGGAAAGCUCUGAGUUAAAUUAAAGGGGAAACAUUUCUGCUGUGAACUCCGGAGCUGCUGGAACAAGUUUAAUGCCCAAAUGAGGUGUCUAAAGGCCUAAGUCUCCUUUUGUUUAUAAAGGCUGGGACCAGUCUUGAAAAGGUUGCAUUCUUCAGGAGAGCUGCCAAACUGCUCAUCAAAGCACCUCAAAACAUGAGCUGAACCUAUCAGGUUUUCCACAGUCAGGAUCCGACUCCAUGACUUGAAGUGUGCCUUUAUCUCCAUGAAAUUCAGACCCAUGACACCAAGAAAAGGAGGAGAAAAGCAGCAGCUGCCCCGAAAUGGGGAGUAACUGACACA